rnacentral:lncRNA from 1 species
AACCAGUUGCCAUUACAAGAGCCCCCUCACAAAGUCCCGUGGAGAGUAACUUCUGCCUCCUGCCAAUAACCAUGGGGAUGAACCAUCCUGGAAGUGGAUCCCUAGCCCCAGACAAGCCUUCAGAUGAGACCACAGCCCUGGCCGACAUGACUGCAACCUUGUGAGAGACCCUGAGCCAGAACCACCCAGCUAAGUCACUCUUGAAUUCCCGACUCUCAGAAACUGUGUGAUGUAAUGUUCAUCGCUUGAAGCUGCUGAAUUUGGGGCUGACCCUAUGCAACAACAGGCCAAGAUGACUACAGCUGCCAUAGCAAAACUCCAAAGUCACUGCAAAGUGAGGGGAUCAGAAGCUUGCUCAGGCCUUCCACAAGCCAGC